UGGUAAUGAUGGCAGAGAGGUCACACCCGUUCCCAUACCGAACACGGAAGUUAAGCUCUCUAGCGCCGAUGGUAGUUGGGACCUUGUCCCUGUGAGAGUAGGACGUUGCCA
rnacentral:rRNA from 3 species